ACCCGGAGUUCGCUGGGAGAAAAACUUGGUGGGGAGACGCCCUUCCCCCCCUACGCGGGACGGGAAGGAUGCAACCUGCUGGAGGAACGCGUGUAAUGCGGUGGUAAUCGCGCUGCACCACCCUAGCACUUAAUAAUUGCCUGUUAAAUGGAUGAGUGAAUUAAUUUCUAUAGUGUUACAAUACUUUCACACCCAUCGUCUGACUCCUUCCGACAGCACAGCGAGGCAGAUUACUGGUGUUUCCUCAAGUGACCACUUGUGUCAUAAAAACUUGGAAAAUGGACUGACAUGCAGAUCCGUGGGCCACUCUCCAGCCCCACUGAAUCAGACACUUUGAGGUGGAUUUCAGAAAGGAUACACUCGCCAGCACUUUUGCCACGAGAGUACACUGAACAAAGGAGACAGGGUCAUCUAUAACCUGACGCGUCCACCUUCCUGCUGUGUCCGGUUUUUAUUGGCUGGAACGGGACCUCACAUUUUGUAUUUGUCCUGAUUGGCUAGUAACUUAGAACUUUUUAAAAGAGGCAAAG
rnacentral:lncRNA from 1 species